GGGACGAACGCUGGAGGCGUGCUUAACACAUGCAAGUCGAGCGGAAAGGCCCUUCGGGGUACUCGAGCGGCGAACGGGUGAGUAACACGUGAGUAAUCUGCCCCUAGCUCUGGGAUAGCUCCGGGAAACCGGGAUUAAUACCGGAUACGACCACCUUAGACAUCUUUUGUGGUGGAAAGAAUUUCGGCUAGGGAUGAGCUCGCGGCCUAUCAGCUAGUUGGUGGGGUAGAAGCCUACCAAGGCGACGACGGGUA
rnacentral:rRNA from 1 species